UAACAGAUGGUUGUCUAAAUUUAAAUGUGUUAAAAUACAUUAUUCAUACUUAAUGCCAUGUAUUUACUGUAUCACUAUAUCCGCAAUGCGCAAACCACAAAUCCUAAAAUCUAGCUGAACCUUUCAUUUUUUUUUUCUUUUCUUACCCGGAUUUCAGAUCAACAGGCAUCCAUGUUUGACUGAUUAGAGGAGAAGCAACGUGCCGUCAUUAGGUUGUUAACGAAGGAAGGAUGGAAGACGGCUUGACAUUCACAUCAAUCUGCAAGUUGUUUACGGAGAUUGACAUAAUUGACGAAAGAAUUUGGUACAAAAGUGUACAGACAGAUGAAGAAGUUUGAAGAAAGGGACCCCAGCAUUGAGUACACACUACGACACUCAGGGAGACUAUCAGCUGCGAUCACUGACACGAAUUACCAGCGAGUGGAUAAACUGAUAUGCGCGGACAGAUGAGGCACAAUUCAUGAGGUAAAACUGGACUAUGGCUAUAAUGAAUUACAGAAAAUGGUGGAAGACUUUGGGUAUCGGAAAGUGUGUGUAAAGCGGCUACUUCGACAGUUGACGCCUGACUGGAAGGAGAGAAGGGUGGCAGUCUACUCUGCUAGAAGCGUUUGAACCCAAUAAAAGCAUGUUUUCAUUUCUUAA